GUGCCAGCAGCCGCGGUAAUACGUAGGCAGCGAGCGUUGUUCGGAGUUACUGGGCGUAAAGAGUGCGUAGGCGGUUGGCUAAGUUUGGUGUGAAAUCUCCCGGCUCAACUGGGAGGGUGCGCCGAAAACUGGCUGACUAGAGUGUGGGAGAGGUAAGCGGAAUUCCUGGUGUAGCGGUGAAAUGCGUAGAUAUCAGGAGGAACACCUGCGGUGUAGACGGCUUACUGGACCACGACUGACGCUGAGGCACGAAAGCGUGGGGAGCAAACAGGAUUAGAUACCCUGGUAGUCC
rnacentral:rRNA from 1 species